UGGAAGGGCCAUCGCUCAACGGAUAAAAGGUACGCCGGGGAUAACAGGCUGAUACUGCCCAAGAGCUCAUAUCGACGGCAGUGUUUGGCACCUCGAUGUCGGCUCAUCUCAUCCUGGGGCUGGAGCAGGUCCCAAGGGUAUGGCUGUUCGCCAUUUAAAGUGGUACGCGAGCUGGGUUUAGAACGUCGUGAGACAGUUCGGUCCCUAUCUGCCGUGGGCGCAAGAGACUUGAGAGGAGCUGCCCCUAGUACGAGAGGACCGGGGUGGACGGACCUCUGGUGGACCUGUUGUGGCGCCAGCCGCAUUGCAGGGUAGCUAUGUCCGGACGGGAUAACCGCUGAAAGCAUCUAAGCGGGAAGCCCCCCUCAAGAUUAGGUCUCUCUGAGAGCCGUGGAAGACCACCACGUUGAUAGGUCAGGUGUGGAAGCGCAGUAAUGUGUGAAGCUAA
rnacentral:rRNA from 1 species